rnacentral:rRNA from 1 species
UACGGAGGGGGCUAGCGUUGUUCGGAAUUACUGGGCGUAAAGCGCACGUAGGCGGCUUUGCAAGUUAGAGGUGAAAGCCCGGGGCUCAACUCCGGAAUUGCCUUUAAAACUGCAUCGCUAGAAUUGUGGAGAGGUAAGUGGAAUUCCGAGUGUAGAGGUGAAAUUCGAAGAUAUUCGGAAGAACACCAGUGGCGAAGGCGACUUACUGGACACAUAUUGACGCUGAGGUGCGAAAGCGUGGGGAGCAAACAGG